GAUGAACGCUAGCGAUAUGCUUAACACAUGCAAGUCGAGGGGCAGCAUGGUCUUUGCUUGCUAAGGCUGAUGGCGACCGGCGCACGGGUGCUUAACGCGUAUGCAACUUUCCUCACAGAGGUGGAUAACCCGUCGAAAGACGGACUACUACCUCGUACACUCUAUGUUGGGCAUCCACUGUAGAGGAAAUGAAAUUCGCUGUGAGAUAGGCAUACGUCCCAUUAGCUAGUUGGUGGGGUAACGGCUCACCCAGGCGACGAUGGGUAGGGGAACUGGGGGGUGGAGCCCGCCACAUGGUACUGGGACACCGACCAGAAUCCUACGGGAGGCCGCAGUUAGGAAAAUUGGUAAAUGGGCGGGAGCCUGAACCAGCCAAGUCGCGUGAAGGAUGGCUGUCUUAUGGAUUGUAAACUUCUUUUAUACGGGAAUAACAAGAGUGACGUGUGGCUUCCUGAAGGUACCGUAAGAAUAAGCAUCGGCUAACUCCGUG
rnacentral:rRNA from 1 species